rnacentral:rRNA from 1 species
UACGAAGGGUGCAAACGUCGCUCGGAAUUAUUGGGCGUAAAGCGCACGUAGGCGGCUUUGCAAGUCCCAUGUGAAAUCCCACGGCUCAACCGUGGAAGUGCAUGGGAAACUGCAGAGCUUGAGUACUUAAGAGGAUCGCGGAAUUCCCGGUGUAGAGGUGAAAUUCGUAGAUAUCGGGAGGAACACCAGUGGCGAAGGCGGCGAUCUGGGAAGAUACUGACGCUGAGGUGCGAAAGCGUGGGGAGCAAACAGG